rnacentral:tRNA from 1 species
GAUGAAGUCAGCUAAAUAAGCUUUCGGGCCCAUACCCCGAGAAUGAUGGUUAAAUAUUCCUCCUUCAUCA